AUGAAGCUUUUGGUGAUUUGAUGGUGUUCGAUACCACCUAUAGAACUAACAAAUAUGGCAUGAUUUGUGCCCCUUUUGUUGGUAUGAAUCAUCAUUGUAAUAAUGUCAUGUUUGGAAUGGGUUUUGUUCUUGAUGAAAAGACCAGCAGUUUUGUAUGGUUGUUUGAGGCUUUUAUGAGAUCUAUGGGAGGAUGUCGAGACCCCAUAACCUUAAUGACUGAUCAAGCCCCUUCAAUUGCUGCAGCAAUUCGACAAAUUUUUCCAAGCACUCGGCACCGUUUGUGCACUUGGCACCUUGGUGAGAAUUCAAAGACCAACAUAGGAGGACUCAGAAUGAAUAUUAAAAGGGUUUCCAGAAGUAUUCGAUUAUUUGCUUAAGUACUGUGAAAGUCCUACUGAAUUUGAACAUUACUGGCCAAGAAUGAUGACAAAAUACAAGUGUUCAGAAAAUGAUUGGUUAAAUCACUUGUAUGAUAUUAAAGAGAAAGGGUGUCCUGCUUAUUCAAAAGAUUAUUUUUCGGGUGGAGUUUUGUCAUCCCAAAGGAGUGAAACAACAAAUCAUUCUGUUUCCAAUAGAUUGAAUAAAACAGAUGGUUUGAGUGACUUUUACAGUACCUUUCUUGAUGUUAUAUCAGAGUGGAGGAGUAAAGAAAGUAAGCAAGAUUUCCGUUUUUUGAGGGGUAACCGUCAUCUUGCAGUAGCUAAUGUUCGUUUACUCAUACACGCUAGGGAGAUUUAUACUAUUUCUGUGUAUGUGGUAUUUGAGGAUCAAUUUGCGAAAGGUAUUUCAUGUUGUCAAGAGCGAAAGCAUGAAGAUUAUGAGACUAUUUUUUAUUAUGUUUGGAGGCCAAAUAAGGACAUUAUAAGGCAUGAAGUUACUUAUGAGAAAUUCACUUUUAAUAUCAAUUGCACUUGUAAGUAUUGGAGUGAGAUGGGGUUGUUAUGUGGACACUCUCUUCGUAUAUAAUAUUCAUUGUGUGCAAAAAAUACCAGAACAAUAUAUAGUGAAGAGGUGGACUAAGAAGGCUAUGUGUAGUCAUGUGUCUGAUGAAGAGACAUGUGAAGAUGUUAAAGUUGUUCCUUCUGCUGUUUGGAGAGUUCAAAUGGUUAGGAAGUAUGUUCAGUUAGUGACAUCAUGUCAAGAAGAUCUUUUAGCAAGAAAUGAAGUUGAGUAUACUUUUCAAAUGUUACGUGAAAAGGUGGAAAGUGUGAUGGGUCCAAUUCAUGUUGAUGAUGUUGAAGUUGGUGAAGAAGCUAAAGAAGAAGGUGAUGAAGAAGGGUUCAUAAACAAUUCAAAAAUAGCUAGAAAAAAGGGUGAGAGAAACUACAGGCCAAAAAGUACUGUUGAGAAAGCAUGUCAUAAAGCUAAGAGUUGGAAAAAGAAAGUAGAUAAAUACAAAGAUGAAGCCAGAGCUACUGUCCAAAAAUUGGUUGUUGAGGUUUUAGAUGAUGAUGGAGAUCCUUUGGUUUAUACACAUCCAACAACACAAGGACCAAAUCUCUCUGUACUUUCUAAGAAAAAGAAUGUUCAAAGUAAAAAUAGUAAAGCUACUACCAAUGCUUCUCAUUCAUCAUCAGCAAAUGUUUUUGGUGACGGGUUCAGAACUGGUUCUCAAGCUUCAAAUGGAAAAGGAUUCAAAAAUAGUAACCCUUCAACUAAAUCUACUCAGCAAUUUUCAGCUAAUGUGUUUGAAGGUGAAUCAUCCAACAAUUUUCCAAGCUCUAAUUCUUCUCAGCCAUCCUCAUCAAAAGCUUCAAAUACCUUUUCAACAAAUAAUGUUCAGCCUUCCUCUAGAAAUAUGUCAAGAUCUACUCCUUCACCUUUUUCAAAUGUUUUUGGUCAUCAAGCUUCAACUAAUUCUUCUCAUGCAUCCUCAUCAAAAGCUUCAAAUUUUUUUCCAACAACUAAGCCACCUUUAUCAAAUGUUUUUGGUUUUCAAGCUUCAACUAAUUUUCCAGCGAGUGUUGCACAGUCUUCUUCAAGAAAUGUUUUUGAAGGUCAAUUAUCUAAUAAUUUUCCAGGUCCUAAUUCUUCUCAGCCAUCAGCAUCAAAAGCUUCAAAAACCAUUCCAAGAACAAAUGCUCAGCCUUCCUCUGUAUGUGGAUGUCAAGCUAAAAAUACAAAAUCUUUCUCAAGAGCUACUCAGCCAUCUUUAUCAAAUGUUCAUGGUCAUCAAGCUUCAACUAAUUUUCCAGCAACUGGUUCUCAGUCUUCUGCAAAAAUUGUCUCAAGUGUUUCUCAGGCUAAAAAAAGGAAAGUAUCUGAAGUGAAUCAUAACAGAAGUUUUCGAUAUGAAACUAGUAAAUGGGCUCAAGAUAGAUUGAAAAUGGGAAAUUUAAUUUGCUGUGUUUCCUUGUAUCCAUUGUCCGGUGUGAUCGUGCAUAUAGCUGCUAUACCAGUAAUUCUGUGGCAAUACAGGAAGAAGCAUCAACAUUAAUCUUCAGUUUGGGAGUUGGGGGUGCAAACCAAGCUUUCGGGUUGGGCUUUUUGAAAGUUUUAAAGUUCAAAAGCUUUAGUUUGAUCCAUGACCUCGGUGGCUUUGAUUGUUGUGGCUUCUAACUCAGUCCAUUGUUCUUGGGCUUUUGGACACUCUAAAGAUAUGGUCCUGGGUUUCAUGGGCAUGGGCGUAGCAUGCACCAUCUCUGGACAAAGUAUUUGUCUAUGUGGUUGAAUCUAUACAGUUCCAUGCCCUAGCUGAUAAGGCAAACGAUGCUUUCUACAAACUGACUGUAUCUCAGUUUCAGACUUUCAGGCCUAUGUUUUUGAUGUUACUAAACUGAGGGUGGCAGCCAAUGACACGGACAGAGGUAAAUAUAAUCUUACAGAUUUAAGAGAACUGAGGGUGGAGCUGAAUCUAAGUACCUCUCAGGGAUAGUAUUGGCGUAUUGCUCAUCAGUGCCAUACCAUAGUAGAUAGUCAAAGAGCGAGACAAUGCACUUGGCUUCUCGGAACAUGUUCCUGCCUUCCUGUGACCAUUGCUAAGGUUGUUAUGGUAUGGUUCUGUACAUAUUGUCAUAUUGAAGCAUGUUGGGUUCCUUUAUUUUACAAGUGCUUAAGAAAUACUACAUUAUAAGUGCUCAAGUAUCGUAGACUGUCACUGAAAACUCCUUGCACUUCAUUGAAACAUAGAACAAGUAACAGCAAAAGGAGAGAUCAUACUACAGAUUAAGAAGUUGUCAGCUUUAAGUUUGUUGCCCAAUUGCACAUCUUGAUGUCGAAUUUUUCAAGCUCUAACUUAUGUUUUGAUGUCCCGUCAAAAAAAAAAAUAAUUUAUGUUUUGAUGUAAUCUUGUUAUCUUCAGGGUUCUUGUUGUCAAAUUGUCUUAAAUUGAAUGGAAAAAUCUUCGGCUGGCUUGCUUUGAAGCCAAAAAAAUGGGAAAAAUUGUGGAGAUGCGGGGUAUCGAUCCCCGUACCUCUCGCAUGCUAAGCGAGCGCUCUACCAUCUGAGCUACAUCCCCUUGUUGUAUAACAUAAAGUCUAUUAAUUAAAUAACUUACAAAUAUUUUCAUAAAAAUAUUCUUCAUUUUUGUUUUUGUGAGAGAGAAAUGCAACUCAUCAAAAAA